GCCGGGAAAAGCGACGGCGCCGAGGCGCUGCUCCACCGUGCCGUGCCCGGUUCCUCGAACGGCGCGUGCGGCUUGACCAAAGCGUGGCCGCUGCUCGCCUGUGCCGUGGCGGGACAUAAACGUGUUUUAUGAGGAUGAAGAGGGUCCGCUCGAGUUCAGACUGAGAUGGAAAGAGCUCCGCUGCCUGUACUUCAGUGUUGUUCAUUAGUCUGGGACCAAAGAGUUAUUUUUAACACCUUCAAUCAACUGGAAAUCUCGUUUUGGCAUGGAGCUGAGGUAGGGUAUAGCAAACUGACUGCAUCAAGCAGACAGCAGGAGGCAACUGAACACUGAAUCUUCAUCACCAAAAAUAAAUACAUUAAAAAUGUAUAUGAGCUGUUACUAAGGAGAAGGCUCCUAUUGUCCACGUGACUCAGGCAGAACAUAGAAAUUUAAGAAUGCUCCAUUGCAGAUAACAGGACCUUUCCCUUGAGGUCUGUCUGCUUGCCACCUGUUUCUGAUCAUUUUCUGUCUGAGGAGAACAUAUAUCUGUACCUGUGCUCUGGUUAUCUAUGGUGCUUUUCAUCCAGAGAUCCCUAAUCACAUUGCAAACAUUAUUGCAUUUAGCUUCAUAAACUCUCUUUUGACAUAGGAAAUUAUUAAUAUAUCCCAUUUUAUGGUCAGAGGGAAAAAAGAGCAGAGACCAACAAUUCAGAGGCCAUCAAAUCUUUGGCUGGAGAUUCUGCAGGAGUCCGGGAUCGCUUCUUCCAUUCUCAUGCACUUACUGCGAAAGAAAUCUAAGUCAUGUGCACGUCACGAUCUCAAUUACUGCAGAAAAUCAAUGACUUUGCAGCCCAAUACUUUGACAAGGAAAACUGCCCAUAAUACUGCAGUUUUAUACCUUUAUUAUUAUUUAUUUGAGCAGUUUCUUACCACUCUUCUUUUUAAAGUGCUUAAGUGCCUUUGUGUGUAGACUAGGAGGAGGCUGCUUUUUAUAAUAAUAGUAUUUAUCUGAAGUGAUUUUAUAGAGAAAAUACAUAAGGUCCGCAGAGCAUUAGAAAUGUUUCCCACUUCUCUCGAAAACUAGACACACAGUGUUUCAGGACAUCCAUUAAUAAUCCCUGCUCUUGGGAGUGCCUAGCUAUCAAAGUGCUGGGUUGGUUUAUUAGUUUACAGGUUAUUACUUCUCUAGUUUAGAUUUCUCUCUUGUAUCUUUUAUGAUGCAGAAUAUAGACUACGAGCUGGAACCUCAGGUGCAGCCAGGCUCUGUUCUGCGCAACCAAGGAGAGAGGAAAGGAAUUAGUUUGCUCCCUGAUGCAGGAGCUGCUUGGGAAUUAUUUUGGCCUGUGUUGUAAAUCAGUUACGUGAAGCAGAGCUGUCUUCCCUCUGGCCAGAGAACAGCAGAGUGCUCCUCUUCCUCUUAUUAAUACCGCAAAAAGGUCGGGGGAUGUGGGUGGUGUGGGGUCGCUGUGCCUCCCGCUUCGGACGUGAGGACUCUCUCCAUGGAGCUGUUGUUUCAAAGACGAAGGAGGGAUGACAGAAAUUCAUCCCAUGGGGUUUUCAAGCAGUUCCCGCUGCAUUUAAAUGGAGUCUGAGAGUGGCUGUGUUCAGAAAACGCUACUCUUAGGGAAACGGAGGAGCACACCCGAGGCUGUUCCCAAAGCCUAGCUGCAGCCCAGCACUCUGGUCUCCCUGGCUGGCUCUCUGCGGGCAGCACGGAGCUGCUUUGUCACUGCUCCAUGCAGAGCAGAAACGCAGCUUUGAACCUGGCUCUCUCUAGGCAAGAACAAAGCCUGCCAGGGCAGAAACCAGCUGUUCUAAGUGUCUCUGAGUUUCUAGAUGCCAGUGAGGUUUGUGCCUGACAUAGAUAUGGGACUGCCAAGCAGGACCAGAACUGAACAGUUUCUGCACAUGGACAGAAACAGGACGUUGGGCUUCCAAGGAAGCCUGAGGUCAAACUGUGAGCAGCUGAGGAGCUGGACACAUCCAGGGUUAGGUGAGUGUGGAGCAGCAAUUUCAGAGUUAAAUCUCUGAGGCUCUCACCUGAUGUGCCAUACUUUGAGGGAAGGUGAGGGGUUUCUUGCUCUUUUGUGCAUUGGGGCCUCUUCUGUGCUCCCUAGGAUAAUGAAUAAUAUCAUCUCUGACUCUAAGAGACCAGUCUAAGAGCUUUGCUUUGUCCUUAAGUUGUCCACACAUCUCGCGUUGUAUGGGACAUCUAUUUCAUUCAUUUGUUGUGUGAGUAAGAGGAGGGCUAAGCCAGUCAGUCAGGCAUUGCAGAUCCACUCUAAGCUAUUUUAUCUGUUGAUUAAACCUUGUUUUCGGGGUAGAAUUCAGCCUGAAAAAAACCCAGUCUUUUAACAAAAACUAAACACAAAGCUCAAAACCAAAUUGUUCCCUUUCUAUAUAGCCUUCAGACUGCCCUUAGGUGCCCAUCUGAAAUUGAAAUCCUGAAUGUGGUUGCAUACCUGAGACUGUCAAUUCAUGCUGUUGCCUCAUUUUCCUGCAUUUGCAGGAAAUAAUGGCCAUUAUUGUCUGUGCAAAUAAGAAGUGCCCAUGUGUGGUGCACAAGCUCAAUCUACAGGGUAGGGUUUCGAAACAUGGCAGUAAGCCAGCGUGCCCUGUCUGGGCCUGGAAGCAUCUAAGUAGUAAUUUGACUAGAGCUCUUUGGAAAUUUUCUUUCAGUUCUAGCAGUCUAUAAAUAGAGGAGUACUCCAGCCCUUACAUGACUUUGUUGUGCUGUGUCAUUUGUGUUUUCUGAGCUGCUGUGCAGAUUGGGGAAGAAGGAGUUCAGACCCACGGGACUGGGAUGAGAAAUGGGCUGCCUUGAUGCUGGGGGGGAGUUUCAGAAGGGGGCUACUGCUGAGAUUGCAGCACCUGGCAGAAGUGAGGCAAGUCACAGCUACACAAAGACUUCACUGAAAGCAAUUUCCUGGGUGUUUGCUCCAUAUGUCGUUUACUUAUAUUCAGUACCUUUAAAACCAGUGGAUCCUGCAUUUCCUAGCAAAAGGUAUCCAGAAAUGACUUCAACAGUCACUGAAAUGAAAAUGACAUUUUUGAAAUAUGUGAGCUAUAUCUCCAGAAUAGCUCCAGUCUACCUAAAAGAGCUAAAAGAGCACCAGCUACCUAAAAGAGUCAGGAUUACCUCGUGAACUCAAUUUGUUACUGUCUAAUGAUAAUUUUAUCCUCGAUAUUUAUCAUAAGAUAACAGCUGGCUGUACUGGGCACUGUAGCCAGGGGGUACAGAGCAGAGAGAGUCAUCACGAUCCAGGAUUGAGUUUGAGCCCCGUUUACAUAAUUUUUGUUUGUCAAGUAGCAGCCCUGCAUUGAUCAUGACCAUGACAGCGCCUGUGGAUGGUAUCAUCCAUCAACAGAUCCACCCCACGAACAACAGAAGCGUUGCAUUUCUGGAAUGGCUGAAGAAAUUAUUUUCUACGGAUCAGAAAAGACAGCAUUAAUCACCAUAAAGCUCACGGUAGUUUAUGCAGGAAUUUCUCAGCUGCUCGUGGUGGUCUGUCAGACAAAAGAUAGCAUGCAAAUGGAGUGGAUCAUAAAAAUAAUUGUAGCCUAGCUUCUAAGAACAGAAUUCAUAUUACCCUUUCUGCUAAGAUGUGUGAAAAUACGGAAAAUGACACCAAAGCUUUUGCAGAAGCAACCAGAGAAUAUCAGGGUAUUAGUAUAAUACUAAUAGUGUAGUCGGUUGUAUAAAUCACUUAAUUGUGACAACAAAUUAAAUAGUGUUGUUUUCUAGAAUUCACCCAUAGUAAAAAUGAUGUAUCUUGAUGAGACAAAUGCUUUGUGCACUGCCAGCAAUAUAUUAGCACCUCUUUCAACUGAGAAAACAAUUAAAAAUUUGGUUGAAAAGGGCAUAUUUUCUCUGUAGCCACUGAUCCCUAAAACUCUGCAAAUAAUAAAGUGUUUCUAAUAGUUGUUCAUUAUUAUACAGUUGAAAGAGGAAAAAUCCAUUGUCUCAUUAUGUUCAAGACAGUUAUGAGAUUGCACUGGGAAUAUCUGAAAAUGUAAGAUGCGUACAAUCAAACGUUUUCAACUUUGACAAUGUAUCAUCAUUUGCAGUUGAUAAUGCUACUGUUAACUUUGGGAGAUAUCAGUCAGUGCACGCAGUGGAAAAUGAGAAUAAAUAUUUGCUUUUAGUUCAUAUACUGCAUAAAUAACAGCAAAGUAUGCAGUAGAAAAGUCAUGAUUUGAUUUUGAGGGUUGUGUAACAGAAGUUUCAGAAUUACAGGAGAUAAUCGUUUUGCUGAACUUAAAUAUGUGGAAAUGUUCAGGCAUCUCCCAAUGAAGUGGGAGUCUCUUUGCUUUGCAAAUGAAACAAUAGCAAAAGGAUCUGGGGUAUUACAAAUUACUUUUGAAUAUUAGGUGAAGAGUGCCCCAGUCUGAUUUUUAAGUUCUUUAUGGAUGCUGAAGAUUGGCAUGGUGGAAGUGCCUGGUAUCCGAAUACUUCCUCUUUCACAGUACAUUAAAUUUUUUUGUCAUCAUCUAGUCAAAAUUAAAAUGCUCUCCUGUGCUGAAGUUUAGAACAUAAAACAUUAAUUGUGUUGUAAAUCACAACAAAGAAUGAACAACAUAUUGAUCAUACGUGCCAGGCCUGCGUAAAGACAUACCAUGACAAGGCAAAAGAAUGUAAACAGAUCUCCUUCAGCAGUACGUAUAAGCUCUGAGAUCCCUGUCUUCAUCUGCCUACACUAACCUGAUUCAGUUACUGUUUCUGAAAAAGUGUGGGAUUUUAGGAAACUGGAAGCCUUAUUGAGCAACUUAUGUACGACAUAUGCGACAUUUUCAAGACUGGAAACAGACUGAUGAAGAGUCGUGAUUUGAAAGAUUUUGUGAAGCUUGCGUACGUGCUCCAGGAAUUUGUACUUAGAAAUAUUUCAGUGUUUAUCUGCAAAUCCUAGUUAUCUCCAUUUCUUAAAACUUGCAGAAUUUACUAUAUCUGUUCCUAUCUCUAGAGAGUAAUAGAAUAAAUAUUUUCUUUUGGAGGCAGGUUUAACAUUUCAGAAGCCUACAAAAUGUUGAGUCGGUUAAAGCUGAGGUUUAAAUUAAAGUUAAUUUCAAUUGAAUGCAUAAAGAAUUUUGUGAACCAACACAAUAAAUGAAAAAGUACUGAAA